rnacentral:rRNA from 1 species
ACUCCUACGGGAGGCAGCAGUGGGGAAUAUUGCACAAUGGGCGCAAGCCUGAUGCAGCAACGCCGUGUGAGUGAAGAAGGUUUUCGGAUCGUAAAACUCUGUCCUAAGGGAAGAAACAAAUGACGGUACCUUAGGAGGAAGCCCCGGCUAACUACGUGCCAGCAGCCGCGGUAAUACGUAGGGGGCAAGCGUUAUCCGGAAUCACUGGGCGUAAAGGGUGCGUAGGCGGCUUAGCAAGCCAGGGGUGAAAGGCAUUGGCUCAACCAAUGUAAGCCUUUGGAACUGUUAAGCUUGAGUGCAGGAGAGGUAAGUGGAAUUCCUAAGUGUAGAGGUGAAAUUCGUAGAUAUUAGGAGGAACACCAGUGGCGAAGGCGACUUACUGGACUGUAACUGACGCUGAUGACACGAAAGCGUGGGUAGCGAACAGGAUUAGAUACCCUGGGAGCACAGAG